CUCAUGCUUACUUGCUGCUUGCCUGCCAGGCGCUGUGGAUAGAAGCGAGUUAGCUCAUCGGCAGAGGCCAUCUGUCUUCCUGGGGCCUGAGGCUGCCUGCCUCCCGCCAUGUGGCGUUCUGCUUCUCAUCUCCCCGGGGCUGCUUUCAAGCCAUGUCCGGACUGAAUGGGAUUGCGUCUGUACGUGUUCCCCUGGUAUCAGCCAACUGAACGAGGCAAGAGGAGAUGGAGAGUGUGGGCUGCGAGGUUCGCGCUGCGGCAGGUGAACAGGGGCAUGAGACAGAGCAUCUCCCUGUGUGCAGACCCCAUCCGUGGAGCCGAUCAAGGAGUAGCACCAGGCAAAGCUGCAGCAAGCUG